GAUUUGUUAUGAAAACAUACUACAUAAGGUAGGUAGAUUUGGGGUUUUAAAUUUUUUUUUUCAGGUUAUCUUUCAACCAUACAACCAUUGUAUAAGAACUUUUUUUAACAAAGGAUCGACCACUGAAAAAAAUCUUUAUUCAACAGAAAAUCAACUGCUAAACAAGUACCUCAUCUAACAGAGAAUAUCAGUGGAAUUACCUAUUGUAAAUCAGGGACAAAAUCAAUCAAAGUUCAGACCAGGGGAAGUCAAAAAGGCAAUCCUGGGGCCUAAAAAAGAGACAAAAUGGUUCAGAAAACCUGGAAAGCCUCUCCAAACAGUGGUACACAGGAAUCUAAGAUGAUCUAAAAAUGGAUGCUGUAAAAUCAGUGGUCAGGGUAAAUUAUGUAGGAUGGCAUGGAGGGAAAGAGAUUGCAGCAAUUCACCACACCGCGGUGUCCAGUAUUAAGCAGCAAUGAAGUAACCCAAAUAUGCCAUAACUCUGAGAAUGACAUGCAAGGAAAUUAUGGAGCGAAAACAAGGACUCCGCUGAGAGGAGCAGGGCAGGUGUAAAAAUCAGAUGACUCGUAAGGACGUCCACACUAUUAGAACUGACAGAUUGAGAUUAAUAAACAAUCUCUGUAUGUACCCUGGUAAUCACCUCUAAGAUCAAGUCAUUUACCUUACACCUAAUAAACACCACACAUCAUAUCUAAAAACAAGACAACAGUCAGAAAUUAAGACCACAAUCAGUCGAUCAAAAGGUCACCACAGAAAUUAAUUUCCUCUGUUUCUUUUGAUUGUUUUUGUUUUGUAAUUAUUUGAAAAUCUUGCAGUGGUUAGGCCUGGCGACAUUUAUCUUGUGAGUAUUAACGCUCUACUACAAUUUUCUCCUACUCCAGCUUUGUGCAUAAAUAGAAACCAGUCAAAGUCUGCUUGGAUUUAUAAAUUCAUUUGAUUACAACCAUAAAUAGCUUUGAGUUGAAUUUCAUUGCAGGGUAAAUCUAAAAGUGCAAUAAAGAUAAAAGUUAAAAUCUAACUAACAUAUUUGUGAACUCGGAUGCAGGGUAUUAAACUAUCUUCACAAUGUAGAUUUUCAAAGUAUAUCCAAAGAUUCAAGAGUUUUUUAAUCUACAAAUUCCAGCCUUAAUUUUACAUACACAAAAUAAUUUUGAGCUUAACCAAUUUUCCACUUGAGAGCUUGUACUUUUCCGCUGCUGACAAAGUUCUACUGGAGACUAAGUAUCUCGGCACCUUUGACAGGAAGUGAGCUCAGCCAGCCAAUAGAUAGGAUGAUUGACUUAAUCCUGCGGGGUGUGUUGUUGUGAUGUCAUCAGCAAUGGCCGCUGGACCUGUAAAUGCACGUCAGCAUCAUCUAACUCACAGCAUCAAACUCUUCUGAGAAAAAACUAAUUAAUAAAUGAAGUCAGAGUUGGAUGUCCUCACCGAGGGGCACCUGAACUCUUGGAUAAUUUCACACAUCCAAUGUGAUCAGAAAAAUAGGAAAUCCAAGUAAUAACUAAUUGGUACUGGGUGUGAGUUAAGAGUCGUUAUCAUAAUGAUGAAAAUCAUUAGGAAAUGAGUGAGAUCAAAUUUAGAGGAAGAAUAUCAAAAAUCAUUCAGAAAUGAGCGAGUCUUCAGAAAAUAAAUAUCUAUAGAAACAUGGAAUGCAAUAACGUAGGACUAAUAUGUUUUUUUUUUUAAAUCAGCUUUUUAAUGAGGCAUACUUGUUAUUGUUGAAGGUGAUUGGGGCACAAGAUAAUUGUUCUCAGUAAACAUGUAUAAAAUAGUAUUUCUUUAGACUACAGCAGUAUUAUCUUGUUUCUCUAAAUCCUUUUUGAACAGAACUAAAAUGUUAUCGUAAGUUAUUUGCAAGUAUUUCUAAGCAACAGAGAAAUUAAAAAAUACUGUGAUGACCAUGAUUAUUUUUUCUGCCAUCAUAAUGACCCUUAAAAAUAAUUGACGACACAAUCUAUAAACAAUAGACCCCUUCAUAAAAACUGCAGUACUGCUCUUUUCCAGGGCAAAAUGACAUAGUUUGGUGAAAUAUGACGUAACAUCAAUUGUUUCAUUUACAUCAUUUACCUAUUAAAUCUUUGGCAAAGUGAAUGAUUACAAUCAAAUAUGGUUAUGCAUUUUACAGAUAAAUUUUCCCAAGUCACAAGUUAAACUAAUCAAUCCUUGUUUAAAUUUCCAACAUGUAACAAUGCAGCAAAGAAAAACAUGUAUGAGUCAUGAGACAGAAAAUGACACAAAACUUCAAUGUCGCCUUCUCUCAUUCAAAUCAAACUUAUUUUCCAUCCAAUCUUGCAAACCUUGUCCAAUCAUUUAACAAGUUUCCAGAAAAGCUCUGCCAGAAACUCUUUCCAUGGGUUCUUCAGGCAAAACUACUGUAUGAAAGAUGAUCAGGAAUAUUAAGUGUUUUCCAUGUGGCUGCUAUUUGUCUCUGAGGAACCAUUGCAGACAUUGGGACGGACUGAUUUAUGUUCUGCUGAUAAUUAGAACACAUUUCUGUGUCAACAGGAAUUUAUAGUUCACUGAGUUGUGAAAUUAAAAAAGUAGAAUAGUCUAUGAAUUCAAACUGUUCUAAUUAAUGCCAAUACAGGUAAAAAGUUAAUCAUAAAUUGAAGGGUUGCCCUUCUUUCUGAUUUUAAAAUUGCAACAUUUCCUUUAAUAAUUUUUUUAAUCAAAGCAUUUUGGAUCAUUACUUUACUUUUCAAUAAAAUAUUCCAUAUCAGUAUAAAGGUUUUAGUCUUGAAUAUGUUUACAUGAGAAAAAAAAUGGACCAACAAAGAAAUAAAACACAAACCAAAACAAAGCUGGAUGUUAACACGACACAAACAAACAUGCUGGGAUGUCCGUUCCAGCCGCAGAAUCACAUUUAAACUCAAUUAACACGAUUUCCAUGACAAUACUUCAGGGGAGACAAUUUUAGCUUUACACUAUCUCGACACCCAUCUGACAUAUAAGAUCAGUCGAUGGAUAAAGUACAAAAGGAAUUAAGACUCGGCAAAAAGUACAAGCAAAUUAGAAUAAAACACAAAUAUACCCUGAUUUCAAUGGACAUGAAACUGGGGCUGGUUCCAUUCACAAAAGUACGACUCAUGGAUCAUUAAUUGUAAAAAAAAACCUGAACAAAGAUGUGAUUUUGCUUCACUGAAACAAAAUGCUCUAAUUAAGCAGCAACAAAGGCAGUUACUACUUGUACAAACUUCUGAUGAUUGCUACAGUGUAAACAACAGACUUAGGAUUAGCAACUUGAAUAAUUUACCUAAUUCCUCAUGUGUAAAAGCAAACUCUUCUUGAAUAAGAACAUUACUCAUUUACUUUUGCAUGCAUCUUAACAAGUCUUUAUAAGGUUUGUCGUUCAACUGUGUUCAUGUCCCUCAAAGUUUGUUCAUCUGACUUAAAACUGGGGUGCGUUCUAAAUCGUUCCUGUUAUGUAGCUGCUAUACUGUUAAACAACAAGCUAGCCUAGCCACUACGUAGAAAUUUGUAGCAUAUAUUUUUAAAGCUAGGCAUCAAAUUCAAGAUGGCUUCUUUAGUUACUACUGUUACAAAUAUGAAAUUUAUUUCAUUUAGUGAUAUUUUUUCAUCCUAUUUAUGAAUUUUUUCAUUUAUAUUUCCGCUUGAAAUUGACAAAAUAUGUCAAUGUAAUAAGUUUUUAUUUGAAUAUUUCCAACUUCAAAUCAGAGACAUAGCAGCUUAACUAGCGGUCCAUGCAAUAGACUAAGACAUCUAUGACAUAGCAGCUAGACUAGCUGCUACGCAGCCCUGUUGUAUUAUGGCAAAAUGUGAAAGGUCAAGGUCACUGACAGCAUUUGCCCAUCAUCUUUAAUUUCCAACAUACAUAAAUGUUUAAACAUUUUUUGGUGUAUUAAAUACAAUACAGCUUUAACCUUUAAACAUCAAUGAUAAGACAGUGAGAGAUAUUUAUACCUUUCUAACCUUCUUUUUUUUUAAACAUUUCCAUAUUUUUAAAUUCCUUUACUUGGAUUUGACAGGUGCCUUACUGCAAGGUUUUGACAGAAGCAAAUUAAAAUUGACACUAUGGCUUUACACUGAAAUUUGACAGCUGCAAAUUCAAUGUUUUGACCAGAUUAUAAAUGUCAAUAGGGUUUGACAGUUGCAAGUUGUAAAUGACACUUGGGUUUGACAGCUUAGUUAAGAUUGUAAUUAACAGUUUGAAAGUUGAAAAUUGUUUUUUAACACUAUGGUUGGAUUGUUGCAAACUGUAAAUGACAUUAGUUGCAGAAUGUUACUGACACUUUGACUUGGCAAAUGCAGAGUGUUACUGACACUUUGACUUGUCAAAUACAGAGUGUCACUGACACUUUGACUUGACAAAUACAGAGUGUCACUGACACUUUGACUUGACAAAUGCAGAGUGUCACUGACAUUGACACUUUGACUUGACAAAUGCAGAGUGUCAUUGACACUUUGACUUGACAAAUGCAGAGUGUCUAGACACUUUGACUUGACAAUGUCAGAGUGUUACUGACACUUUGACUUGACAACUGCAGUGUCAUUGACACUUUGACUUGACAAUAGCAGAGUGUUACUGACACUUUGACUUGACAAUGGCAGAAUGUCACUGACACUUUGAAUUACAGUUUGAGGGUUCAGAAGAUGUGGAGUGUUACUGACACUUUGACUUGUUAAUUGCAGAGUGAGGGUUCAGAAGAUGAGGAGUAUUACUGACACUUUGACUUGACAAUUGCAGUUUCAGGGUUAAGAAGAUGUGGAGUGUUACUGACACUUUGACUUGAAAAUUGCAGUUUGAGGGUUCAGAAGAUGUGGAGUGUCACUGACACUUUGACUUGAAAAUUGCAGUUUGAGGGUUCAGAAGAUGUGGAGUGUCACUGACACUUUGACUUGACAAUUGCAGUUUGAGGGUUCGGAGGAUGUGGAGUGUCACUGACACUUUAACUUGACAAUUGCAGUUUGAGGGUUCAGAAGAUGUGGAGUGUCACUGACACUUUGACUUGACAAUUGCAGGGAGAGGGUUCAGAAGAUGUGAAGUGUUACUGACUCUUUGACUUGAAAAUUGCAGUUUGAGGGUUCAGAAGAUGUGAAUGUUACUGACUGUUUGACUUGAAAAUUGCAGUUUGAGGGUUCAGAAGAUGUGGAGUGUCACUGACACUUUGAUUUGACAAUUGCAGUUUGAGGGUUCUGAAGAUGUGGAGUGUCACUGACACUUUGACUUGACAAUUGCAGUUUGAGGGUUCAGAAGAUGUGGAGUGUCACUGACACUUUAACUUGACAAUUGCAGUUUGAGGGUUCAGAAGAUGUGAAGUGUUACUGACUCUUUGAAUUGCAGUUUGAGGGUUCAGAAGAUGUGGAGUGUCACUGACACUUUGACUUGACAAUUGCAGAGAGAGGGUUCAGAAGAUGUGAAGUGUUACUGACUCUUUGACUUGAAAAUUGCAGUUUGAGGGUUCAGAAGAUGUGGAGUGUCACUGACAUUUUGACUUGACAAUUGCAGUUUGAGGGUUCAGAAGAUGUGAAUGUUACUGACUCUUUGACUUGACAAUUGCAGUUUGAGGGUUCAGAAGAUUUGGAGUGUCACUGACACUUUGACUUUACAAUUGCAGUUUGAGGGUUUAGAAGAUGUGGAGUGUCACUGACACUUUGACUUGACAAUUGCAGUUUGAGGGUUCAGAAGAUUUGGAGUGUCACUGAUACUUUGGUUCGACAGUUGCCUAUUGUAAUAUACAAUAGAGUUUAAGAAUUGCAGAUUGUCAUUGACAUCAAGUUUGGCAGUUGGAAAUUGCCCCUUACACAUGGGUUUGACAGUUGCAGCCUGUCAAUGACAUUAAGUUUGGCAGUUACAGACUGUCAAUGACAGUAGGGUUUAACAGGUACAGACUGUCAAUGACAGUAGGGCUUGACAGUUACAGACAGUCAAUGACAGAAGGUUUGACAGUUACAUACUGUAAAUGACAGUAGGGCUUGACAGUUACAGAUUGUCAAAGACAGAAGGGUUUGACAGUUACAGAAGUCAAUGACAGUGGAGUUUGACAGUUACAGUCAAUGACAGUAGGGUUUGACAGUUGUAGGCUGUCAUUGCAACAAGGUUUACAAAUUGUCACUAACAAUAAGUUUGAUAGUUGCAUUAUGUCACUGAGAUUAAGGUUUAACAGUUGCAGACUGUAAAUGACACAGCUAUCUAAUUGACAUGAGUUUAUUCACUGGAUUAAAUAAAUGUUUAUUUGGCACCCCUUACUUAGAGUUUAACUGCAACAUUUUCUCCUCUCUUCUGCAAUGUGUUUGUUUAAUUAUCUUAUUAAUAA